UACGUAGGGUGCAAGCGUUGUCCGGAAUUAUUGGGCGUAAAGAGCUCGUAGGCGGUCUGUCACGUCGGCUGUGAAAACCCGAGGCUCAACCUCGGGCCUGCAGUCGAUACGGGCAAACUAGAGUACUGCAGGGGAGACUGGAAUUCCUGGUGUAGCGGUGAAAUGCGCAGAUAUCAGGAGGAACACCGGUGGCGAAGGCGGGUCUCUGGGCAGUAACUGACGCU
rnacentral:rRNA from 1 species